CACCUCUCCAACGAUGACCAAAUGAAGCACAAAGCGAAGUAGCGUCAAUGACAGCUGAGCAAAGUUUGCCGAGGGAAACUUCAACGCCGACUGUAACCUUCAACUGACGCGAGUUCGUUGACAGUCCCCACCUCCGCCCUCUCCAGUGUUGCCGAGACACACACACUUCACACACAGCACAGCCAGCCAGCCGGUAAAAGCGCUCCGAUGUGCCACCUGAAGGACUCGCAUUAAACAAGAGUUUGCCUCAACUACCAAGCCCUACUAUCACAACAUCAUCUUGAUGUUCUGCGAGCUUGUUCCUUCUCCCUGAGCCAGCAGGGGCCCUCAGUACUGACUUCUGAGAGAGUCGGCCUCACCAUCCUUUGUCAAGCUCUCCUAUCCUGUUUCCAAUCGUCUCCUCUCCUACUCCUCUUUCUCCUACCUCCUGGCCCACACAGGCCCACCUGGACUCCCAGUCAGCCUUCUCCCUCCAUGGUGGUUGGGGG